AUUGAACGCUGGCGGAAUGCUUUACACAUGCAAGUCGAACGGCAGCACGGACUUCGGUCUGGUGGCGAGUGGCGAACGGGUGAGUAAUGUAUCGGAACGUGCGCAGUCGUGGGGGAUAACGUAGUGAAAAUUACGCUAAUACCGCAUACGAUCUAUGGAUGAAAGCGGGGGAUCGCAAGACCUCGCGCGAUUGGAGAGGCCGAUAUCAGAUUAGGUAGUUGGUGGGGUAAAGGCCCACCAAGCCAACGAUCUGUAGCUGGUCUGAGAGGACGACCAGCCACACUGGAACUGAGCCACGGUCCAGACUCCUACGGGAGGCAGCAGUGGGGAAUUUUGGACAAUGGGCGAAAGCCUGAUCCAGCCAUUCCGCGUGCAGGAUGAAGGCCCUCGGGUUGUAAACUGCUUUUGUACAGAACGAAAAGGUUUCUACUAAUACUAGGAGCUCAUGACGGUACUGUAAGAAUAAGCACCGGCUAACUACGUGCCAGCCGCCGCGGUAA
rnacentral:rRNA from 1 species